rnacentral:rRNA from 1 species
UGAGGAAUAUUGGUCAAUGGACGGAAGUCUGAACCAGCCAUGCCGCGUGCAGGAUGACGGCUCUAUGAGUUGUAAACUGCUUUUAUACGAGGGUAAAACUGGGUACGUGUACCCACUUGAAAGUAUCGUAUGAAUAAGGAUCGGCUAACUCCGUGCCAGCAGCCGCGGUAAUACGGAGGAUUCGAGCGUUAUCCGGAUUUAUUGGGUUUAAAGGGUGCGUAGGCGGUAAUUUAAGUUAGUCGUUAAAUCGGAAGGCUCAACCUUCUCAUGGCGAUUAAUACUGGGUUACUAGAGAUUAGAUGCAGAGGGCGGAAUGUGUAGUGUAGCGGUGAAAUGCUUAGAUAUUACACAGAACACCGAUUGCGAAGGCAGCUCUCUAAUCUACAUCUGACGCUCAGGCACGAAAGCGUGGGGAUCAAACAGGAUUAGAUACCCUGGUAGUCCACGCUGUAAACGAUGAUAACUCGUUGUCGGCGAUACACAGUCGGUGACCAAGCGAAAGCGAUAAGUUAUCCACCUGGGGAGUACGUUCGCAAGAAUG